CCUACGGGUGGCAGCAGUAGGGAAUAUUGCUCAAUGGGGGAAACCCUGAAGCAGCAACGCCGCGUGGAGGAUGAAGGUUUUCGGAUUGUAAACUCCUUUUGUUAGGGAAGAUAAUGACGGUAUCUAACGAAUAAGCACCGGCUAACUCCGUGCCAGCAGCCGCGGUAAUACGGAGGGUGCAAGCGUUACUAGGAAUCACUGGGCGUAAAGAGCUCGUAGGCGGGAUAGCAAGUCAGAUGUGAAAUCCUAUGGCUUAACCAUAGAACUGCAUUUGAAACUGUUAUUCUAGAGUAUGGGAGAGGUAGGUGGAAUUCUUGGUGUAGGGGUAAAAUGCGUAGAGAUCAAGAGGAAUACUCAUUGCGAAGGCGAUCUGCUAGAACAUAACUGACGCUGAUGCGCGAAAGCGUGGGGAGCAAACAGGAUUAGAUACCCCUGUAGUC
rnacentral:rRNA from 1 species